rnacentral:lncRNA from 1 species
AGCUCACUUUGACUGGAACCAGCUACACCAAUGCCCUUGAAAUAGUACAGACCAUGUCCCAGUUAAAAAUGGUUCCAAGGCAGCUUGUGUUUAUGACUGUUUACCAAAAGGGCAACAGGACACGUAUGCUGAGGCACAUUGCUCUGUGGGAUGGCAAAGAGACAAAGGUAACAGGCACUUACACUGGACUCUUCCCAAAGUUGCCUGGAGGUCACAACAUUCAGGUGGAACUUUUCCAUCCUCUCUCCAUCCCUUUCCCACGGCAUGCCAGGGUCAACUUAUAUGUGAAACAUUCGGCACGUCAUCACCGGGAUGAUCUUACUGUCAUUUGGAAUGAGGAGGACCAGAUAUCAGUGUCAUCUUCUCUGAAGUUUGGAAGACACCGGACAAACUACAGAGCCACUGUUGCCCACCCAUUUAAUUACACCCUGAAGCAACUGGAGAUCCAUUCCCUGUCAGAAAGAAGGGGCAGAAAGUACAACCAGCAGCUGCAGCUGGCAGGGAAUGCUGGGCAGCCUGCUGACAUCCGACUGACCCUGGAGGAUAAAUCCAAGGUGGACAUCACUGCCUGGGCAGGCUGUGUGACACUCUCUGCAGGCCAGCUUCAGAGAAUAUUAAGUAUGGAACACCUGCAUGCAUGUGGGUCUCUAGAGCAAAAAUCAACACUGUUUAAUGAAUAUCUAGAUCUGAACUGGGAUGACAAAAAAAUCA